rnacentral:rRNA from 1 species
AUUGAACGCUGGCGGCAUGCCUUACACAUGCAAGUCGAACGGCAGGCACGGGAGCAAUCCUGGUGGCGAGUGGGCGAACGGGUGAGUAAUAUAUCGGAACGUGCCCAGUCGUGGGGGAUAACGUAGCGAAAGCUACGCUAAUACCGCAUACGAUCUAUGGAUGAAANCGGGGGAUCGCAAGACCUCGCGCGAUUGGAGCGGCCGAUAUCAGAUUAGGUAGUUGGUGAGGUAAAGGCUCACCAAGCCGACGAUCUGUAGCUGGUCUGAGAGGACGACCAGCCACACUGGGACUGAGACACGGCCCAGACUCCUACGGGAGGCAGCAGUGGGAAUUUUGGACAAUGGGCGCAAGCCUGAUCCAGCAAUGCCGCGUGCAGGAUGAAGGCCUUCGGGUUGUAAACUGCUUUUGUACGGAACGAAACGGUGAGCUCUAAUACAGUUUGCUAAUGACGGUACCGUAAGAAUAAGCACCGGCUAACUACGUG